rnacentral:rRNA from 1 species
CAGGGGAUCUUCGGACCUUGCGCUAAUAGAUGAGCCUAAGUCGGAUUAGCUAGUUGGUGGGGUAAAGGCCUACCAAGGCGACGAUCUGUAGCGGGUCUGAGAGGAUGAUCCGCCACACUGGGACUGAGACACGGCCCAGACUCCUACGGGAGGCAGCAGUGGGGAAUAUUGGACAAUGGGGGGAACCCUGAUCCAGCCAUGCCGCGUGUGUGAAGAAGGCCUUAUGGUUGUAAAGCACUUUAAGCGAGGAGGAGGCUACUGAGACUAAUACUCUUGGAUAGUGGACGUUACUCGCAGAAUAAGCACCGGCUAACUCUGUGCCAGCAGCCGCGGUAAUACAGAGGGUGCGAGCGUUAAUCAGAUUUACUGGGCGUAAAGCGUGCGUAGGCGGCUUUUUAAGUCGGAUGUGAAAUCCCCGAGCUUAACUUGGGAAUUGCAUUCGAUACUGGGAAGCUAGAGUAUGGGAGAGGAUGGUAGAAUUCCAGGUGUAGCGGUGAAAUGCGUAGAGAUCUGGAGGGAUACCGAUGGCGAAGGCAGCCAUCUGGCCUAAUACUGACGCUGAGGUACGAAAGCAUGGGGAGCAAACAGGAUUAGAUACCCUGGUAGUCCAUGCCGUAAACGAUGUCUACUAGCCGUUGGGGCCUUUGAGGCUUUAGUGGCGCAGCUAACGCGAUAAGUAGACCGC